rnacentral:rRNA from 1 species
GAUGAACGCUGGCGGCGUGCCUAAUACAUGCAAGUCGAGCGAGUGGAUUAAGAGCUUGCUCUUAUGAAGUUAGCGGCGGACGGGUGAGUAACACGUGGGUAACCUGCCCAUAAGACUGGGAUAACUCCGGGAAACCGGGGCUAAUACCGGAUAACAUUUUGAACCGCAUGGUUCGAAAUUGAAAGGCGGCUUCGGCUGUCACUUAUGGAUGGACCCGCGUCGCAUUAGCUAGUUGGUGAGGUAACGGCUCACCAAGGCAACGAUGCGUAGCCGAACUGAGAGGGUGGUCGGCCACACUGGGACUGAGACACGGCCCAGACUCCUACGGGAGGCAGCGGUAGGGAAUCUUCCGCAAUGGACGAAAGUCUGACGGAGCAACGCCGCGUGAGUGAUGAAGGCUUUCGGGUCGUAAAACUCUGUUGUUAGGGAAGAACAAGUGCUAGUUGAAUAAGCUGACACCUUGACGGUACCUAACCAGAAAGCCACGGCUAACUACGUGCCAGCCGCCGCGGUAA